UGGGCCAUACGAAGGGUGAUCUGAAGAGU
rnacentral:piRNA from 1 species